rnacentral:rRNA from 1 species
UACGGGGGGGGCAAGCGUUGUCCGGAAUCACUGGGCGUAAAGGGCGCGUAGGCGGUUAUGUAAGUCACUUGUGAAAUCCCGGGGCUCAACUCCGGGGCUGCAGGUGAGACUGCAUGGCUAGAGCACGGUAGAGGCAAGUGGAAUUCCCGGUGUAGCGGUGGAAUGCGUAGAUAUCGGGAAGAACACCGGUGGCGAAGGCGGCUUGCUGGGCCGUUGCUGACGCUGAUGCGCGAAAGCGUGGGGAGCAAACAGG